CAUCGGCAGGCGGACGCGCAACCACUGCGCCACCAGGGAAGCCCAAGAUCCUAUUCCACAAAUAAGCGAUAUCAUAAUUUGAAAAGAUACAUGUACCCCAAUGUUCAUCGCAGCACUGUUUACAAUAGCCAAGACAUGGAAGCAACCUAAAUGUCCAGCGACAGAUGAAUGGCUAAAGAUGUGGUACAUAUAUACAAUGGACUACUACUCAGCCAUAAAAAAGAAUGAAAUAAUGCCAUUUGCAGCAAGAUGGAUGGACCUAGAGAUUACCAUACUACGUGGAUGUGGCUGGAACAUCCUCAUUCAGUUCUUUGAGUGGGUGAUGAGACUGGAGGCAAUGGAAAGUCCUAGUUCAGAUCAAAGAAGUAGAAAUGAAGAAUAAGUAAUUAACAGAUGACCAGAUCGCUUCCCUAGCUUCCGCGUCAGUAAUCUUGCCAACGAACGGUGUGAACAAGACAGCAUCUAAAGAAAGAUCAUGAGGAAUCAACAAGCCUGAACGCACGCCUGCCCGCAGUGGGAGAUGGCGAGGACUCUGACCCCCUCUCUCAAUGAUUCCCUGAGAUUAUUAUUUCCCUUUAAAACCUUUCAUGGCUGAGCAGAAUCUUUGGAGGUAGUUUUGGGGGGACACUGAGUCCACUGUGUCCCCAGACUGCCGGCAUUCUGAUUAAAAGCAACUUUCCUUUCUACCAACGUUUGUCUCUCUCUCUCUCUCUCUCCAGUAUUGAUUUAUGAGCGGCAAGCAGCUGGACCCGAUAUGGUUAACAGUAAGGAGAGGCAAGAAGGAUGCUGAGGGGGUGUGUGGGGAGGGUCUCAACGCAGCGGUGUGUGGGUUUGAGGGCUGGCUGUGGGCUAUAUGGUGAAGCCUCUCUUCUACGUCCUGCAAAAUCUGGAACAAAGUCUAUGUUGACACUAGUGCUUUUUAUGCAGAUGAUG